rnacentral:rRNA from 1 species
AACGAACGCUGGCGGCAGGCCUAACACAUGCAAGUCGAGCGGACCCUUCGGGGUUAGCGGCGGACGGGUGAGUAACGCGUGGGAACGUGCCCUUUGCUUCGGAAUAGCCCUGGGAAACUGGGAGUAAUACCGGAUACGCCCUUUUGGGGAAAGAUUUAUCGGCGAAGGAUCGGGCCGCGUUGGAUUAGGUAGUUGGUGGGGUAAUGGCCUACCAAGCCGACGAUCCAUAGCUGGUUUGAGAGGAUGAUCAGCCACACUGGGACUGAGACACGGCCCAGACUCCUACGGGAGGCAGCAGUGGGGAAUCUUAGACAAUGGGGGAAACCCUGAUCUAGCCAUGCCGCGUGAGCGAUGAAGGCCUUAGGGUUGUAAAGCUCUUUCACCGGGGAAGAUAAUGACGGUACCCGGAGAAGAAGCCCCGGCUAACUCCGUG